UACGUAGGGGGCAAGCGUUGUCCGGAAUUAUUGGGCGUAAAGCGCGCGCAGGCGGUUCUUUAAGUCUGGUGUUUAAACCCGAGGCUCAACUUCGGGUCGCACUGGAAACUGGGGGACUUGAGUGCAGAAGAGGAGAGUGGAAUUCCACGUGUAGCGGUGAAAUGCGUAGAUAUGUGGAGGAACACCAGUGGCGAAGGCGACUCUCUGG
rnacentral:rRNA from 1 species